rnacentral:rRNA from 1 species
AUGCCUACGCCACUGCUCCCUCCUGCCUCGCGCAGCUCCCCUGGCCCCCUUGCCUGCCUCCCAAAUGUCCCCUCUUUCACCCCCAAAGUCGUUUCUUCUUUCUCCCGCUGCGUCUCCUGCUUGCGCGCUGCGGCGACACCUCCUCCUCGUUGCCCCCGACGCCGGAGGAGGCACGGGGCAAGCAGCAGUGUCUCGCGCUGCGCUUGCGCCACCUCGGGUGCGCGUGGGCCUACGCGUCGGUCGCCGCCUCGGCCGUGCGCCAGUCCGCAAAGGAGGAGGAAGGGGAUUCCGUUCGCCGCCAAGGCGUACUGGGUAUGCUCCUCGAGUCCCCGCUCUUCAGGCCCCUCCUCACCUCCCUCAUCAAGAAGCAGAACAACAUGA